rnacentral:sRNA from 1 species
ACUGCAUCAUGCUGUCUGGAGAAACAGCCAAAGGGGACUAUCCUCUGGAGGCUGUGCGCAUGCAGCACCUGAUUGCCCGUGAGGCAGAGGCCGCCAUCUACCACUUGCAAUUAUUUGAGGAACUCCGCCGCCUGGCGCCCAUUACCAGCGACCCCACAGAAGCCACCGCCGUGGGUGCCGUGGAGGCCUCCUUCAAGUGCUGCAGUGGGGCCAUAAUCGUCCUCACCAAGUCUGGCAGGUAGGAGGCGGCAGCGGCUCCCUGGAAUGCCCUGCUCAGUGGCACCUCUUCUUGGGGGUCCUGGGAGCAGUCCAUUGAACAAUGCUCAGGUGGCACUGAGCCAAGGUAAGACCCCUCUGCCUGCCACCUUGGGCCUGCAGGGAAGGAUUGAGCAGAGCCCCUUCCCUGGGCCCAAAGGACUCUAGGUAGCACUCAUAAGGAAUGUCAGAACAUUUGGAUCAAAAGCAAAUUUAUGCUGGAGAUUUAUUACAUAACAGUGCACAGGCUGACUACAAAUGGUUAUUUGAUAUUGAACAUUUAGUCCUCUAAAAUUGUAAAAGAUAACCACUUUUGCUUAUUCCAGUUACUAUGUGCUCUUUAAAAAUUUCAGUUGGGAAAUGAAUUUAUUUAAAUGCUGUUUACUGUGCCUCCAUUUGGCACACGAGUCCCUGCUGUUUUCGAGCCCUAAAGACAAAUUGGGUUCCAGCUCAGGAGAGGUUGCUGUGCUAUCUUGGCUGACAUUCUGUGGGGCCUGGCAGCCAGGCUGAGGACUGUGUGGCCUAUGCUGGGCCUCCAACUUGGGAUCCCUUCCUUGGCCCAGGACACUG